GUGCUUGCUUCAGCAACACAUAUACCAAAAUUGGAACGAUACUGAGAAGAUUAGCAUGGCCCUUGAGCAAGGAUGACAUGUAAACUUGUCAUUUCAUACUUUA
rnacentral:snRNA from 1 species